rnacentral:rRNA from 1 species
UACGGGGGAGCAAGCGUUGUUCGGAUUUACUGGGCGUAAAGGGCGCGUAGGCGGCCACCGCAAGUCGACUGUGAAAUCUCCGGGACUUAACCCGGAAAGGUCAGCCGAUACUGCGGGGCGUAGAGUGCAGAAGGGGCAACUGGGAAUUCUCGGUGUAGCGGUGAAAUGCGUAGGAUAAUCUGGAGGAAUACCGGUGGCGAAAGGC